GACGAACGCUGGCGGCGUGCUUAACACAUGCAAGUCGAACGGUAAGGCCCUUCGGGGUACACGAGUGGCGAACGGGUGAGUAACGCGUGAGUAACCUGCCCUUGACUCUGGGAUAACAGAUAGAAAUGUCUGCUAAUACCGGAUACUCAGCCUCGCAGGCAUCUGUGAGGCUGGAAAGCUCCGGCGGUCAAGGAUGGACUCGCGUCCUAUCAGCUUGUUGGUGGGGUAAUGGCCUACCAAGGCGACGACGGGUAGCCGGCCUGAGAGGGCGACCGGCCACAUUGGGACUGAGAUACGGCCCAAACUCCUACGGGAGGCAGCAGUGGGGAAUAUUGCACAAUGGGCGAAAGCCUGAUGCAGCAACGCCGCGUGCGGGAUGACGGCCUUCGGGUUGUAAACCGCUUUCAGCAGGGACGAAGCGCAAGUGACGGUACCUGCAGAAGAAGCACCGGCUAACUACGUG
rnacentral:rRNA from 1 species